CAAUAGCGUAUAUUUAAGUUGUUGCAGUUAAAAAGCUCGUAGUUGGAUUUCGGGUGGGACGCAGCGGUCUCGCAUUGCGUUUGUACUGCUGCAGCCCUCCUUCUUGCCGGGGGCGGCCUCUCGGACUUCACUGUCUGGGGGUCAGAAUCGGCGAUGUUACUUUGAGUAAAUUAGAGUGUUCAAAGCAAGCUUACGCUCUGAAUAUAAUAGCAUGGGAUAACACGACAGGACUCUGGCCUAUCGUGUUGGUCUAUAGGACCAGAGUAAUGAUUAAGAGGGACAGUCGGGGGCAUUCGUAUUCCGUUGUCAGAGGGGAAAUUCUUGGAUUUACGGAAGACGAACAUCUGCGAAAGCAUUUGCCAAGGAUGUUUUCAUUG
rnacentral:rRNA from 1 species